CCUACGGGUGGCAGCAGUGAGGAAGAUUGGUCAAUGGGCGCGAGCCUGAACCAGCCAAGUAGCGUGAAGGAUGACUGCCCUACGGGUUGUAAACUUCUUUUAUAAAGGAAUAAAGUGAGGCACGUGUGCCGUUUUGUAUGUACGUUAUGAAUAAGGAUCGGCUAACUCCGUGCCAGCAGCCGCGGUAAUACGGAGGUUCCGAGCGUUAUCCGGAUUUAAUGGGUUUAAAGGGAGCGUAGAGGGGUUGUUAAGUCAGUUGUGAAAGUUUGCGGCUCCACCGGAAAAUUGCAAUUGAUACUGGCAGCCUUUCGUUCAGUUGAGGUCGGCGGACUUCGUGGUGUAGCGG
rnacentral:rRNA from 1 species